UACGUAGGGUGCAAGCGUUGUCCGGAAUUAUUGGGCGUAAAGAGCUCGUAGGCGGUCUGUCGCGUCGGCUGUGAAAUCCCGAGGCUCAACCUCGGGUCUGCAGUCGAUACGGGCAAACUAGAGUAUUGCAGGGGAGACUGGAAUUCCUGGUGUAGCGGUGAAAUGCGCAGAUAUCAGGAGGAACACCGGUGGCGAAGGCGGGUCUCUGGGCCUUACCUGACGCUGAGGAGCGAAAGCGUGGGGAGCGAACAGG
rnacentral:rRNA from 1 species